UGAUGGAGGGGGAUAACUACUGGAAACGGUAGCUAAUACCGCAUAAUGUCGCAAGACCAAAGUGGGGGACCUUCGGUCCUCAUGCCAUCAGAUGUGCCCAGAUGGGAUUAGCUAGUAGGUGGGGUAACGGCUCACCUAGGAGACGAUCCCUAGCUGGUCUGAGAGUAUGACCAGCCACACUGGAACUGAGACACGGUCCAGACUCCUACGGGAGGCAGCAGUGGGGAAUAU
rnacentral:rRNA from 1 species